CCCUUAGAUGUUCUGGGCCGCACGCGCGCUACACUGAUUCAUGCAAUGAGUUUUGUCCUUGGCUGAAAGGCCUGGGUAAUCUUUGAACGUGAAUCGUGCUGGGGAUAGAUGAUUGCAAUUAUUCAUCUUCAACGAGGAAUUCCUAGUAAACGCAAGUCAUCAGCUUGCAUUGAUUACGUCCCUGCCCUUUGUACACACCGCCCGUCGCACCUACCGAUUGAAUGGUCCGGUGAAAUCUUCGGAUCUGAGAGAUGUUGGAUUAAUUUCUGACGCCUUUUGGAAAAGUCGCUUAAACCUUAUCAUUUAGAGGAAGGUGAAGUCGUAACA
rnacentral:rRNA from 1 species